UACGAAGGUGGCAAGCGUUGUUCGGAUUUACUGGGCGUACAGGGAGCGUAGGCGGUUGGAUAAGCCCUCCGUGAAAUCUCCAGGCUUAACCUGGAAAGUGCAGAGGGGACUGUUCAGCUAGAGGAUGGGAGAGGAGCGCGGAAUUCCCGGUGUAGAGGUGAAAUUCGUAGAUAUCGGGAGGAACACCAGUGGCGAAGGCGGCGACCUGGGCCAAUAUUGACGCUGAGGUGCGAAAGCGUGGGGAGCAAACAGG
rnacentral:rRNA from 1 species